AACGAACGCUGGCGGCAUGCCUAACACAUGCAAGUCGAACGAGACCUUCGGGUCUAGUGGCGCACGGGUGCGUAACGCGUGGGAACCUGCCUUUAGGUUCGGAAUAACUCAGAGAAAUUUGAGCUAAUACCGGUUGAUGUCUUCGGACAAAGGAUUUAUCGCCUUUGGAUGGGCCCGCGUUGUAUUAGUUAGUUGGUGGGUAAAGGCCUACCAAGGCGACGAUCCAUAGCUGGUCUGAGAGGAAGAUCAGCCACACUGGGACUGAGACACGGCCCAGACUCGUACGAGAGGCAGCAGUGGGUAAUAUUGGAGAAUGGGCGAAAGCCUGAGCCAGCAAGGCGGGGUGAGUGAUGAAGGGCUUAGGGUUGUAAAGCUCUUUUACCCGAGAUGAUAAUGACAGUAUCGGGAGAAGAAGCACCGGCUAACUCCGUG
rnacentral:rRNA from 1 species